UCAUUGUUUUGUCGCAAUUGAUCCUGGGGCGUUUGAAGAUGGUUUUCAUGACAUACUGAGUGAUAUGAUGACGUUUUGUAGAAAUCUUGAUCCGGUUGACGGUAAAACAGAGGUCUUGGUACCUGGUGAUCCAGAGAGAAAACAUAUGGAAUUAUGUGACAGACGGGGAGGAAUUCUUUACCAUUCAAAUCAAAUCAUUGCUUGUACAGAUAUUGCCUCAAGGUUACAUGUUGAGCCUCUAACAUAACUAUGUUCCGUUCUCCAAUGGCAACUUCGUCUUCUAUUUUAAAUGAAAUAAAUACAGAUAAAUGAAAUCAUA